GUGGGUAGAGCUCAGUGGUAGAGUGCAUGCUUAGCAUGCACAAGGUUCUGGGUUCAAUCCCCAGUCCCUCCA
rnacentral:tRNA from 1 species